UGACCUCGAAUCAGGUAGGGAUACCCGCUGAACUUAAGCAUAUCAAUAAGCGGAGGAAAAGAAACCAACAGGGAUUACCUCAGUAACGGCGAGUGAAGCGGUAACAGCUCAAAUUUGAAAUCUGGUCCGGUUACGGGCCCGAGUUGUAAUUUGUAGAAGAUGCUUUGGUAAUGAGUCCGGCCUAAGUUCCUUGGAACAGGACGUCAUAGAGGGUGAGAACCCCGUAUGCGGCCGAGUACUCAGUGCCAUGUAAAGCUCUUUCGACGAGUCGAGUUGUUUGGGAAUGCAG
rnacentral:ncRNA from 1 species